UGAGGCUGUAGAUCAGUGGUAGAGUGCUUGCCUAGCAUGUGUGAGGCAUUGGGUUCGAUUCUCAGCACCACAA
rnacentral:tRNA from 1 species